UGCUUGCAAGCUAUCGUCCAGAGAUGGGCACGCGUCCUAUUAGCUAGUUGGUGAGGUAACGGCUCACCAAGGCUGCGAUGGGUAGCCGGCCUGAGAGGGUGAUCGGCCAUACUGGGAUUGAGAUACGGCCCAGACUCCUACGGGAGGCAGCAAAUCGGAAUAAUCCACAAUGGGGGAAACCCUGAUGGUGCGACGCCGCGUGAGCGAUGAAGGCCUUCGGGUCGUAAAGCUCUGUGUUAUGGGAAGAAACUCCGGUAGCUUAAUAAUCUAUCGGCUUGACGGUACCAUAAUAGAAAGCCCCGGCUAACUACGUGCCAGCAGCCGCGGUAAGACGUAGGGGGCGAGCGUUGUUCGGAAUCACUGGGCGUAAAGGGCGUACAGGCGGCCAUGUAAGUCAAUUGUGAAAUUCUUAGGCUUAACCUGAGAACUGCACUUGAUACUGUGUGGCUUGAGAUCAGGAGAGGAGAGUGGAAUAUGUAGUGUAGCGGUGAAAUGCGUAGAUAUUACAUAGAACACCGGUGGCGAAGGCGGCUCUCUGGCCUGAUUCUGACGCUGACGCGCGAAAGCUAGGGUAGCGAACGGGAUUAGAUACCCCGGUAGUCCUAGCCGUAAACGAUGGGUACUAAGUGUAGGGGGUCAUUGACCCCUCCUGUGCUGUAGCUAACGCAUUAAGUACCCCGCCUGGGGACUACGGUCGCAAGACUAAAACUCAAUGUAAUUGACGGGGGCCCGCACAAGCGGUGGAGCAUGUCGCUUAAUUCGAAGCAACGCGAAGAACCUUAUCCAGUGGCUUGACAUCCUUUGACAACCGUGGAAACACGGCGUUCUCUUAUGAGACAAAGUGACAGGUGCUGCAUGGCAGUCGUCAGCUCGUGUCGUGAGAUGUUGGGUUAAGUCCCGCAACGAGCGCAACCCCUGUCUUUAGUUGCCAGCGCGUAAUGGCGGGGACUCUAAAGAUACUGCCGGCGAUAAGCCGGAGGAAGGUGGGGAUGAUGUCAUGUCCUCAUGGCCCUUAUGCCCUGGGCUGCACACGUGCUACAAUGGCCGGUACAACGGGUCGCGAAACCGUGAGGUGGGGCCAAUCCCUAAAAACCGGUCCCAGUUGGGAUUGUAGUCUGCAACUCGACUACAUGAACCUGGAAUCGCUAGUAAUCGCGAAUCAGCAGGUCGCGGUGAAUACGUUCCCGGGCCUUGUAUACACCGCCCGUC
rnacentral:rRNA from 1 species